rnacentral:rRNA from 1 species
UACGGGGGGGGGCAAGCGUUGUUCGGAAUUACUGGGCGUAAAGGGCUCGUAGGUGGCCAACUAAGUCAGACGUGAAAUCCCUCGGCUUAACCGGGGAACUGCGUCUGAUACUGGAUGGCUUGAGUUCGGGAGAGGGAUGCGGAAUUCCAGGUGUAGCGGUGAAAUGCGUAGAUAUCCGGAGGAACACCGGUGGCGAAGGCGGCUUCCUGGACCGACACUGACGCUGAGGCGCGAAAGCUAGGGGAACAAACGGG